rnacentral:rRNA from 1 species
GAUGAACGCUGGCGGCGUGCUUAACACAUGCAAGUCGAACGAAGCAUUUAAGACAGAUUCCUUCGGUUUGAAGUCUUUUAUGACUGAGUGGCGGACGGGUGAGUAACGCGUGGGUAACCUGCCUCAUACAGGGGGAUAGCAGCUGGAAACGGCUGGUAAUACCGCAUAAGCGCACAGUACCACAUGGUACAGUGUGAAAAACUCCGGUGGUAUGAGAUGGACCCGCGUCUGAUUAGCUUGUUGGCGGGGUAGCGGCCCACCAAGGCGACGAUCAGUAGCCGACCUGAGAGGGUGACCGGCCACAUUGGGACUGAGACACGGCCCAGACUCCUACGGGAGGCAGCAGUGGGGAAUAUUGCACAAUGGAGGAAACUCUGAUGCAGCGACGCCGCGUGAGUGAAGAAGUAGUUCGCUAUGUAAAGCUCUAUCAGCAGGGAAGAUAGUGACGGUACCCGACUAAGAAGCUCCGGCUAAAUACGUG